UGACAGACAUACGUUGAUGUAAAAAAACACAUUUUACAUAUUGCUUUCGGAAGUGUUGGGGAUAUUUUACGCUUUGUUAUGGAAAUUUACAAUUCUUCUUAAGGAAAUUCAGGUAGCUGGUAAACCCUUGGUGAUCUGAAAUGUGUCUCAUGUCUUAUCAAAUCCUCGAAUGCCUGAGUGCUUAUUUUCUAAUAAAGACAAUUUGUCAAGCGUCUGCGUAACUAUCGAGCUAUAAAGUUGCAUGUAAAUAGAAAAUAACUGAACUGCCGUUUAAUUUGAAAUAUCUUGGAAUGUCACUACCGUUGUAAAGAUCAUGAAGCAUCACAAAAUUAUUAGUUAAAAAACUCUGCCGAACCCCACCGAAGUGAUUUUAAGGCAUAUUGUGACCGCAAGCUCGCACACAUUGGGUAACACAAUGUGUAAAUAAAUUCAGAGAAAGAAUUUUAAGCACCCCGUUAUCAUCGCCCAAAACAUACUAAGAAACUUUGCUCAAGCAAAAGCAGCAAUGUAACAGUUCUCACUAUACAAACACAUAUACAUACAUAUAUAUCGCCUCAUACAAAUGAAAGAUGGAAAAUACUGUUUGCCUUUUCUGCAAAAGAAAACUAGCAAUUUUCGGAACAGCUUCUACGAUUUAAGAAACGGAUCUCAGUGUCAUCAUAGCUUCAAGACUUUUGCUGAAGAGCAAAUGUUUGUUAUUAAAAAUAUAUCUUUGGUUGUUCAAAGAAAACAACUUAGUACUAUUGCAGGAAGGCCGAAUUCCUCGAAGAAUAAUUGCAUCAUCGCUUGCAGUAUUUUCAAGAAGUAUUAUUGAAACAUUUCCUGGAAAAAAGUGCCACAUACGUAAUCCAGUGACACAUAGGAAAACAAUUUUGGCUCAAACUACUUAAAGGAAAUUGGUUUUUCGAUUUAUCAAUAUUUUCUGACGCACACAUUUCAAGGCCACUGGAUGUAAACUGACUGCCAUAUCUGUGUAAAUUUUGAAAAAAAUAAAUAAAUAUUCGGAGAAAAUGUGCAUAACUGCAAUGUAUGAGAACAGUUACAGGAAAUGAAUAUACGCAGAGUAGAUAAUGUCGCCAUUCUUGCGUGGCGUGUGCCAUUCUCCAGAGUAGGAAAAAAUAUGAAAAAUCGUUGCGGCUUGUGAUGAUCAAACAGCGCUGACUUGUAUGAAAUCUGAACUGCCAUAGCUGAAAAUAUGAUACGAUUUGUAAUAAUGGAAUUGAAGUGAUGACGGUUGUGUUGCACAAGGAUUGCUGGUGACUGUGGCAUGAGUUUUCACUUAGCAAAAGCUGUGAUUGGUUGUAUUGUGAAUGCCAACUGACAAUUUGCACUUACGCGUACAAUAAAAAGCCACAACAACACACAACAUCCACUUUAAAGCCAACAGAGUCCCGAGUAAAUCAAGUGUAGCCACAACAACACCAAUAACACAUCGAAGAAGAUUAUAUAGCUCCAAAUAAAGGUGAGUUCGCAGAAAAAGCAGAAAGUAACACACAAAUACUUAUCUAUGUUAAUACGAGUGUAUGUCAAGUUUGUGGCAGCAGGAAAGAUACAUUAAUGCUUGGGAAAAUCUUCAAAGUUAGCGGAAAAGCACGAAAUGGAUUUAUGCUGAAUUUGUGCGGCAAAAACUGUGGUGUUGAAUUAAAGUGGCAGGAAAUUUAAAUAUGCUAAAGGGCUUGCAGUUAAAGAGAAUGGGAAUGUCACUGCGUUUUCUAUACAAACCUUCUCCACAGAUAACAGAACGCGACAAAUUAGCAAAAAUAUAAGUCAACACGAUUAAACGCAGACCAAACUUGCCCAAGACUUGCCCAAUCCAGAUGAUCGGAUAUUUUAACGUGGAUUUAAAGUUUUCACUUUUUGGCCAAGAGUAUCACCAAUUAAGUUAUCGAAAAUAUGAUGGAUAAAACGACUUCCAACAAAAAUGUUUGUCCUCAGACUCUUACAGUCGACAAAUUUUUUGUAGUAGAU